rnacentral:lncRNA from 1 species
GGAAUUCUCUAACUAUUGACACUGUUCUUAGAUCGCCUUGCAGUGAUAUUUAGCCAUACCAAUUCCACUGUGGAAAACAGACAGACUCAUAGGUGCCAAAAAGUCAUACGGGAAAUAUGACCAAUUUUAUGCGAGACACUAAAUAAGCACCGAGUUCAUAAUCAGAUUGCAGAGCAUUGUUGCAGGUGCCUGCGCUUUGCUGUUCGCUGUGUAGGCAAAGGAUCUGCCAUGCUGCUGUAACCACUAGAAUGAUGAAUGUGUGCCAUGUACAUCAGCAUUCUUGUUUCCUAUACCUUGGCAUUAUCCUCGUAGAUGAGUAUGGCAUGGAAGAAGGCUGUGGGCAGGGACCACUAGACAUGUGCAGGCACUGUGCAUCCCCACCUUUCAGCUCCUAGAACAGCAGAAUGGUCUCCAUAAUCACUCUGACACUGUAGACGACCUGUUCAGGCUAUCCACCAGGUUUAUUCAGCGUAGCCCUGUCACCUUGCUGAGAAGCCAAGUAGUCAUCCCUAUCUUACAGUGGGCCAUUGCUUCUACUAACGUGGACCACUGGGAUGCCAAUUGUAACGUCGUGAGGCUCCUAUAAGAGCUCAUUGUUGCAGGGGUAGCCAAUGAUCAUGAAGACUUUGAUUUACGGAAAGAACCAAUGGAAAGAAGAUUAACCAGCCUGGAUAGCAGUUUGUCAGCCAGCUGCCUCACACAUGCUGCUUUUGUCUUCCCACCCCAUACUCACAUGGGGUCGAAGUGUUCUGGGAGAUCAUGCAGGUGGACAGACUGACGUUUUGGUGAUGGUUAUAGAAUUCCUUAAAAGGCUUUUUAA